rnacentral:rRNA from 1 species
UGGGGAAUAUUGCACAAUGGGCGCAAGCCUGAUGCAGCCAUGCCGCGUGUAUGAAGAAGGCCUUCGGGUUGUAAAGUACUUUCAGUCGGGAGGAAGGUGUCAAGGUUAAUAACCUUGGCAAUUGACGUUACCGACAGAAGAAGCACCGGCUAACUCCGUGCCAGCAGCCGCGGUAAUACGGAGGGUGCAAGCGUUAAUCGGAAUUACUGGGCGUAAAGCGCACGCAGGCGGUUGAUUGAGUCAGAUGUGAAAUCCCCGGGCUUAACCCGGGAAUUGCAUCUGAUACUGGUCAGCUAGAGUCUUGUAGAGGGGGGUAGAAUUCCAUGUGUAGCGGUGAAAUGCGUAGAGAUGUGGGGGAAUACCAGUGGCGAAGGCGGCCCCCUGGACAAAGACUGACGCUCAGGUGCGAAAGCGUGGGGAGCAAACAGG